rnacentral:rRNA from 1 species
UACGGAGGGUGCAAGCGUUGUCCGGAUUUAUUGGGUUUAAAGGGUGCGUAGGCGGCUUAUUAAGUCAGGGGUGAAAGACUGCAGCUCAACUGUAGCAGUGCCUUUGAUACUGAUGAGCUUGAGUACAGAUGAGGCUGGCGGAAUGGGUGGUGUAGCGGUGAAAUGCAUAGAUACCAUCCAGAACACCGAUUGCGAAGGCAGCCGGCUAAACUGUAACUGACGCUGAGGCACGGAAGCGUGGGGAUCGAACAGG